ACGGGUGAGUAACGCGUGAGAAUCUGCCCUUUAGUGAAGAAUACUCCUGAGAAAUUAGGGUUAAUGCUGCAUGUGUCCCUUCGGGGAGAAAGGUGGCUUUAUGCUGCCGCUAAAGGAUGAGCUCGCGUACUAUUAGCUAGUUGGUGGGGUAAAGGCCUACCAAGGCGAUGAUGGUUAACCGGCCUGAGAGGGUGUACGGUCACACUGGAACUGAGACACGGUCCAGACUCCUACGGGAGGCAGCAGGGAGGAAUAUUGCGCAAUGGGCGAAAGCCUGACGCAGCGACGCCGCGUGGGGGAUGAAGGUCUUAGGAUUGUAAACUCCUGUUAAGUGGGAAGAAAGACUUGUUGUUAAUACCAGCAAGUUAUGACAGUACCAUUAAAGAAAGCACUGGCUAACCUCGUGCCAGCAGCCGCGGUAAUACGAGGGGUGCGAGCGUUAUUCGGAUUAAUUGGGCGUAAAGGGUGCGUAGAUGGCUUCUUAAGUUUGUUGUUAAAUUCCCUGGCUUAACCAGGGGCAAGCGAUGAAAACUGAUUAGCUAGAGGGUGGGAGAGAGAAGUGGAAUUCCCGGAGUAGCGGUAA
rnacentral:rRNA from 1 species